rnacentral:rRNA from 1 species
UACAGAGGUCUCAACCGUUGUUCGGAUUCAUUGGGCGUAAAGGGUGCGUAGGCGGUCGUGCAAGUCGGAUGUGAAAUCUCAGGGCUCAACCCUGAAACUGCAUUCGAUACUGCGUGGCUAGAGUGCUGGAGAGGAGACUGGAAUUUACGGUGUAGCAGUGAAAUGCGUAGAUAUCGUAAGGAAGACCAGUGGCGAAGGCGAGUCUCUGGACAACAACUGACGCUGAGGCACGAAGGCCAGGGGAGCAAACGGG